rnacentral:rRNA from 1 species
GAUGAACGCUAGCGGCAGGCCUAAUACAUGCAAGUCGGACGGGAUUCAGGAGCUUGCUUCUGAUGAGAGUGGCGCACGGGUGCGUAACACGUAUGUAACCUACCUUUAUCAGGGGGAUAGCCUCUCGAAAGAGAGAUUAAGCCCGCAUAAAAUCACAGCACAGCAUUGUGUAAUGAUCAAAUAUUUAUAGGAUAAAGAUGGGCAUGCGGAACAUUAGCUAGAUGGCGGGGUAACGGCCCACCAUGGCGACGAUGUUUAGGGGAUCUGAGAGGACGGCCCCCCACACUGGUACUGAGACACGGACCAGACUCCUACGGGAGGCAGCAGUAAGGAAUAUUGGUCAAUGGGCGGAAGCCUGAACCAGCCAUGCCGCGUGCAGGAAGACGGCCCUACGGGUUGUAAACUGCUUUUAUACGGGAAUAAACCCAGAUACGUGUAUCUGGCUGAAUGUACUGUAAGAAUAAGGAUCGGCUAACUCCGUG